rnacentral:rRNA from 1 species
AUUGAACGCUGGCGGCAUGCCUUACACAUGCAAGUCGAACGGUAACGGGCCUUCGGGUGCCGACGAGUGGCGAACGGGUGAGUAAUGCAUCGGAACGUACCUUUCAGUGGGGGAUAACGUAGCGAAAGUUACGCUAAUACCGCAUAUUCUGUGAGCAGGAAAGCAGGGGAUCGCAAGACCUUGCGCUGAUUGAGCGGCCGAUGUCAGAUUAGCUAGUUGGUGAGGUAAAGGCUCACCAAAGGCGACGAUCUGUAGCGGGUCUGAGAGGAUGAUCCGCCACACUGGAACUGAGACACGGUCCAGACUCCUACGGGAGGCAGCAGUGGGGAAUUUUGGACAAUGGGGCAACCCUGAUCCAGCCAUGCCGCGUGAGUGAAGAGGGCCUUCGGGUUGUAAAGCUCUUUCGGUCCGGGAAGAAAGUCGUAAUGGGCUAAUAACCCUGUGCGGAUGACGGUACCGGCAUAAGAAGCACGGCUAACUACGUGCCAGCAGCCGAC